UACGUAGGGUGCGAGCGUUGUCCGGAAUUAUUGGGCGUAAAGAGCUUGUAGGCGGUUUGUCGCGUCUGCUGUGAAAAUCCGGGGCUCAACCCCGGACUUGCAGUGGGUACGGGCAGACUGGAGUGUGGUAGGGGAGACUGGAAUUCCUGGUGUAGCGGUGGAAUGCGCAGAUAUCAGGAGGAACACCGAUGGCGAAGGCAGGUCUCUGGGCCAGUACUGACACUGAGGAGCGAAAGCGUGGGUAGCAAACAGG
rnacentral:rRNA from 1 species